rnacentral:rRNA from 1 species
GGCGACCGGCGCACGGGUGAGUAACACGUAUCCAACCUGCCGUCUACUCUUGGACAGCCUUCUGAAAGGAAGAUUAAUACAAGAUGGCAUCAUGAGUCCGCAUGUUCACAUGAUUAAAGGUAUUCCGGUAGACGAUGGGGAUGCGUUCCAUUAGAUAGUAGGCGGGGUAACGGCCCACCUAGUCUUCGAUGGAUAGGGGUUCUGAGAGGAAGGUCCCCCACAUUGGAACUGAGACACGGUCCAAACUCCUACGGGAGGCAGCAGAGAGGAAUAUUGGUCAAUGGGCGAGAGCCAGAACCAGCCAAGUAGCGUGAAGGAUGACUGCCCUAUGGGUUGUAAACUUCUUUUAUAAAGGAAUAAAGUCUGGUAUGGAUACCCGUUUGCAUGUACUUUAUGAAUAAGGAUCGGCUAACUCCGUGCCAGCAGCCGCGGUAAUACGGAGGAUCCGAGCGUUAUCCGGAUUUAUUGGGUUUAAAGGGAGCGUAGAUGGAUGUUUAAGUCAGUUGUGAAAGUUUGCGGCUCAACCGUAAAAUUGCAGUUGAUACUGGAUAUCUUGAGUGCAGUUGAGGCAGGCGGAAUUCGUGGUGUAGCGGUGAAAUGCUUAGAUAUCACGAAGAACUCCGAUUGCGAAGGCAGCCUGCUAAGCUGCAACUGACAUUGAGGCUCGAAAGUGUGGGUAUCAAACAGGAUUAGAUACCCUGGUAGUCCACACGGUAAACGAUGAAUACUCGCUGUUUGCGAUAUACGGCAAGCGGCCAAGCGAAAGCGUUAAGUAUUCCACCUGGGGAGUACGCCGGCAACGGUGAAACUCAAAGGAAUUGACGGGGGCCCGCACAAGCGGAGGAACAUGUGGUUUAAUUCGAUGACACGCGAGGAACCUUACCCGGGCUUAAAUUGCAGAUGAAUUACGGUGAAAGCCGUAAGCCGCAAGGCAUCUGUGAAGGUGCUGCAUGGUUGUCGUCAGCUCGUGCCGUGAGGUGUCGGCUUAAGUGCCAUAACGAGCGCAACCCUUGUUGUCAGUUACUAACAGGUUUCGCUGAGGACUCUGACAAGACUGCCAUCGUAAGAUGUGAGGAAGGUGGGGAUGACGUCAAAUCAGCACGGCCCUUACGUCCGGGGCUACACACGUGUUACAAUGGGGGGUACAGAGGGCCGCUACCACGCGAGUGGAUGCCAAUCCCAAAAACCUCUCUCAGUUCGGACUGGAGUCUGCAACCCGACUCCACGAAGCUGGAUUCGCUAGUAAUCGCGCAUCAGCCACGGCGCGGUGAAUACGUUCCCGGGCCUUGUACACACCGCCCGUCAAGCCAUGGGAGCCGGGGGUACCUGAAGUGCGUAACCGCGAGGAGCGCCCUAGGGUAAAACUGGUGACUGGGGCUAA